AUGUCAUCCGGCAGAGCUCAAGGAGAUUUUACUGGAAAAUUCCUUACGACGUUGCCUUGUCUAUCCGUUGAUGAGCAGGCAAUCCAAAAAAGAACGACACGAAUAUAUGCCUGCCCGCAGGCACGUCCCAGGAACGCGCCCCGUGAGCACAAGCGGCGUACCGAGACGAAUUGGACUGUUGGCAUUACGCUGGGAUAUGGAAACUGGUUUGCCAUUUCCGAGAAAUGGGGCUCACUCCACUCCAGGUGCACCUGGCACCAUCACCUGACCGUUCUUGGGUCGACAAGCAAACUGAAGGCCGCAGGAAGGGGGUUAAUUGCCCGGGCUGCUAACAAAGCAUCUGUGCGCUUAACAGGCAAGCAUUUCGGUGGCUAUGCAAUGGCAUGGGCCAACUCCAUCAUCAUAUGGUCAUUACCGAGCAUGGGGCAUCAUCAUCAGCUUACGCCGAGAAUCUCAUAA
rnacentral:rRNA from 1 species